AGAACUUCGAAACCGGAUCAUUAUCUUCCACUGAUGGCAUGCUCACUUUCUCAUGCAUCCUCGAAUGGGAUUAAUUAACAUCUCAGAUAAACAUCUGAAAGAGAAACCGAGUUCGACACUUCUUUCAAACUCCUAUUGCCAAAUUCAGAAUCUGUGAAAUAUUCAACUUCCAGCAACUUGGAUCAAUUCAUCUUGAAUCAAUUCAGCAUUCUUCAACAAAACAGAUUGCCAUUCUUUGAAACCUACACGAAUACAACAAUAUGAUUCAUGUGAUAUUCGAUGCAGACAAACAGAAGUUAACAACACAUUUCUGAAAAACAUCGGAUUUGGCAUACGACAAACUCGCGCCAAUGUCAGGUCUUUGUAAGCAUCAACGCAUAUCACGUCAGCCUGCGAUCCAAAAAAGGAAUCAAAAACAAACAAUGAGAAGACGGCUGUGAUUCGAUUCAUAUAGCAGCGUGUAUCAUUGGCAUAUACAGUUGGACCGAGUUCAGGUAUCUUCGCGUUAUCUCGGAUGCGGGUCUAGGCUGGGUAUAUCGGUGGAACGCGUCCCGGUAUCGGCGAUCCCGUUGCCGACUGCGUUGGCUAGUUAGAAGAAAGGGAUCCGUGAAAAGGAAGAACGGACUGAAUGACACGGUCACCGAAAAUGACAGGUACACGACUUGGAAGAGCCGUGGACGUGGGACCGAUAUCGCAACCGCAUCUGACACAAACCUUGGUCAGCCAACUCCGUCUCGUCUUCUUUCUCCGUCCUUUUCUUCCUCCUCUCGUUCUCUCUCGUGUCUGCCUGCCAAUAUGCCUACCUGUCAACACACGCUGCAUUCAAUUAACUCGGGGACCAGUUUCACGCCUGUGUAAUGACGCGGAAAUCAAACUUUACCCACCCCCGUGCCCCUCGCCGACCCUCAAGACGGACGCGAUCCUGUAGGACGCCAGGGAACGUCGACCUCGUUCUCGUGAGCAGCUUUCGUUCUGACAGCCACGGGAACAUCCUUGAAUCGGGCCUCGUGCGUAUCUAGCAGCUGAAAAGAAGAGGAUUUGAGGAAAAGAGAGUUGGAAAAUUAUUUGGAGAACAGAGAGGAUUUAGUCGGAGGAAAACUCAAUUUACAUUAUGAAAUUUGUAGCAAAAGAAGUUUAGGAUUAUUUGAAGAAGGAAAGAGGAUUAUUUGGAAAGAAAUCUAAUCACCACAAGUGAUAAAUAUUACACCUACGUCACGAGUUUUGUACUGUGGAUAUUCUACACUUGUUUGUAUACUACGUACAUUCUGUACAUUUUUGCACCUUCAAAUUUGCCUUAAAUGAAGAACAAUCGGUAAUCUAGUGAUGAAUCUGUAAACUAAGGUCAUUGAAAGAAUGGGACAGUGACAAGGCUGAAAUAGAAAAGUAAACAACUCGAGGAAGUCUAAUCCUGCAAUCCAUGCGGCAACCGCGAGCAACACGAAAUCAGCAGAUCAGCGACGAUUACAAGAGGAUAGAGAUAGCGUUAUCUCUUAUCUACUAGCAGUCCGGGAUCUCAGCAUCCGCUAUCUAUCGAUGGAAUUAAGAAAGCCUAACCUGGCUAGAUUAAAUUAAAAUCGGACUUUAUCAGGGCCACUGCGCAUUUCUUCUUAUCUCGACGCUGACCGAUAAUGCGUUUACACCUUAGGAGAAUCCGCGAUCUCUAAUAGGACACUGGUAUCUUAGACCGAUAGACCGAUAGAUCGAUAAGCUUGUUGUUUUUAUUUCGAAACUUUUUCAUUUUUACAUUUCCUGUAUAUUGUUUCAUAAUUUGGCAAACUGUU
rnacentral:lncRNA from 1 species